GACGAACGCUGGCGGCGUGCUUAACACAUGCAAGUCGAACGGAAAGGCCCUGCUUUUGUGGGGUGCUCGAGUGGCGAACGGGUGAGUAACACGUGAGUAACCUGCCCUUGACUUAGGGAUAAAUUCAGGAAACUGGGGCUAAUACCGGAUAGGAGCUCUUGCUGCAUGGUGGGGGUUGGAAAGUUUCGGCGGUUGGGGAUGGACUCGCGGCUUAUCAGCUUGUUGGUGGGGUAGUGGCUUACCAAGGCUUUGACGGGUAGCCGGCCUGAGAGGGUGACCGGCCACAUUGGGACUGAGGUACGGCCCAGACUCGUACGGGAGGCAGCAGUGGGGAAUAUUGCACAAUGGGCGGAAGCCUGAUGCAGCAACGCCGCGUGCGGAAUGACGGCCUUCGGGUUGUAAACCGCUUUCGCCUGUGACGAGGCGUGAGUGACGGUAAUGGGUAAAGAAGCACCGGCUAACUACGUG
rnacentral:rRNA from 1 species